rnacentral:rRNA from 1 species
GACGAACGCUGGCGGCGUGCUUAACACAUGCAAGUCGAACGGAAAGGCCCUGCUUUUGUGGGGUGCUCGAGUGGCGAACGGGUGAGUAACACGUGAGUAACCUGCCCUUGACUUUGGGAUAACUUCAGGAAACUGGGGCUAAUACCGGAUAGGAGCUCCUGCUGCAUGGUGGGGGUUGGAAAGUUUCGGCGGUUGGGGAUGGACUCGCGGCUUAUCAGCUUGUUGGUGGGGUAGUGGCUUACCAGGGCUUUGACGGGUAGCCGGCCUGAGAGGGUGACCGGCCACAUUGGGACUGAGAUACGGCCCAGACUCCUACGGGAGGCAGCAGUGGGGAAUAUUGCACAAUGGGCGGAAGCCUGAUGCAGCAACGCCGCGUGCGGGAUGACGGCCUUCGGGUUGUAAACCGCUUUCGCCUGUGACGAAGCGUGAGUGACGGUAAUGGGUAAAGAAGCACCGGCUAACUACGUGCCAGCAGCCGCGGUGAUACGUAGGGUGCGAGCGUUGUCCGGAUUUAUUGGGCGUAAAGGGCUCGUAGGUGGUUGAUCGCGUCGGAAGUGUAAUCUUGGGGCUUAACCCUGAGCGUGCUUUCGAUACGGGUUGACUUGAGGAAGGUAGGGGAGAAUGGAAUUCCUGGUGGAGCGGUGGAAUGCGCAGAUAUCAGGAGGAACACCAGUGGCGAAGGCGGUUCUCUGGGCCUUUCCUGACGCUGAGGAGCGAAAGCGUGGGGAGCGAACAGGCUUAGAUACCCUGGUAGUCCACGCUGUAAACGGUGGGUACUAGGUGUGGGGUCCAUUCCACGGGUUCCGUGCCGUAGCUAACGCUUUAAGUACCCCGCCUGGGGAGUACGGCCGCAAGGCUAAAACUCAAAGGAAUUGACGGGGCCCCGCACAAGCGGCGGAGCAUGCGGAUUAAUUCGAUGCAACGCGUAGAACCUUACCUGGGUUUGACAUGGAUCGGGAGUGCUCAGAGAUGGGUGUGCCUCUUUUGGGGUCGGUUCACAGGUGGUGCAUGGCUGUCGUCAGCUCGUGUCGUGAGAUGUUGGGUUAAGUCCCGCAACGAGCGCAACCCUUGUUCACUGUUGCCAGCACGUUAUGGUGGGGACUCAGUGGAGACCGCCGGGGUCAACUCGGAGGAAGGUGGGGAUGACGUCAAGUCAUCAUGCCCCUUAUGUCCAGGGCUUCACGCAUGCUACAAUGGCUGGUACAGGGAGUGGCGAGCCUGUGAGGGUGAGCGAAUCUCGGAAAGCCGGUCUCAGUUCGGAUUGGGGUCUGCAACUCGACCUCAUGAAGUCGGAGUCGCUAGUAAUCGCAGAUCAGCAACGCUGCGGUGAAUACGUAUCCCGGGGCU